rnacentral:lncRNA from 1 species
GAGGGGGCGCUGCAGGGCGGCCGGACGAUGCCCACGUCAGGCCGCGGGCGCGAGAAAGCCUUCAGCCACACUCGCCGAUCCAAGGGAUGGCCAAGGAUCUGCCCCUGCCCAGGCCCACGCCCAGCCUGGGGGAAUCAUUGAGAGGGAAGGCUCGGCUUCCCCCGUCACCUCGUCCACCCUGAGCCACGUCCACCGCGCUGGGGUUGGCCCUCCCGCACACUCUGGUGGUUUCCUGUCUGCGAGCACGGAAGUAAACAAAGACCAUCCAACCAACAAGGACUCUCGCUCAGGAGUGAUGCCAUGGCAGGACGGGGAGAGCUUCAGAGUGGACAGGAGACCAUUUCCGGUGUGCCUGGCAGGAGGCUUCCAGCCUAGGGAUCAGGAGGCAGCUACCUGGACGCGGGACACCCCAUUUAAUUGGCCAGAGGAACAUAUUUGGCUUUUGCUUGGAAAAGAGGAUAAGUUGGAAACAGGUGCGACAUUCCUGUGUAACUCCAAAGGAGACAGUCCCAGGUCGGGGAGCUGAGGCAGCAGGCCUCAGAAGGAGCUGGGAGCGUGCUCAGGAAAGCCCCGGAGACAUGUGAAAGGCAGGCCCUCGAGGAAUCUGGGAGACAGCAGCCAGGCAAGAGAUGGAGGCGGUUGCUGGAGGCUGGAAAAGUCUUCCUUCUCACCUCUCCCCUGCCCUCCUCAGUGUCAGGCCAUCUAUGGGACAAGUCAGGGCCUGGGCACCAUCCGCGUGGCAGGAGGUGGGCCAGGGAAUGCUCGGGGAGCUGCCACAUCCUGAAGUCACACUCCCCAGGCCUGCCCUUCCCUCAGAGCAAGCAGGUGUUAGGAGGCACAUCCGGGCUUUGAGGAGGCAGGCUCCCUGAACUCUGGGCCAGGCGUAUUUCUCUUGGGGUCAGUGUGCUCUGCUCAGUCUUGAGCCUCUUCCUGUGGAGGUCCAGUUUCCAUGAGGGAAAGGAGGUUAAGGGGGAGGUGACAUUACCUGUCUGUUCCUAGAUUCUUCUGUAUGGCAGCAGCUGGGGGUAGGCCUGUUAGUUGCCCCCCAGUGGUUGGGUAGAACCAAAUGGGCAGCUCUUCGGUCAGAACACAAAGUCACUUUAGCUGCAAAGGAUGCCACCCUGGGUUCCAGACUGAAAGCCUCAGGCACCAUAAAAAGCAGAAUUCUUAGUCUCCAUAAUAUAUCUAUCCCUGGGUGUUACUCCCACAACUCUAUUGCUAUAUAUAUAUAUAUAUAUAUAUAUAUAUAUAUAUAUUUACAAUCUGAUUAAGGUCGCUAAUUGGGUUAUUCAUUAUUUGGCUGUGCAGCAGACCAAGUCUUUGGCAGCAGAGGGCAAGUCAAAUUCUAAGAACGAGAAGAAUUUGAUGCACCUAAAGAUGCGGCGGUCAGAGGGGUGGGGGGGAUGUUGCAAGGUGGCCUACGUGGAAAGGCUUUGAGAGUGGCCUCUCCAGCUCCAAGAGACCCUCGGCCAACAGUUAACAAGGACUCCAUUCCAACCACACAGGAACUGGGAUCUGAGAACAACCCAAGUGAACUUGGAAGUGGAUUCUUCCCUAGGGCCUCAGUGGGAGAUCAGACAGGCCAACACCUUGAUUUUGGCCUUGGAACAUCCCAAGCAAAGACCCAGGGGAGCCUGCCCCCAACUUCUAGCCCACAGAACUGGAAGCUCUUCAGUGGGUGAUGUUUUAAGCUGCUAAACUGUAGUAAUUUGUUGUGCAGCAAUUAUACCUAAAACAGAUCCUUGGACAAUGAAGUUUCUACAGCAUGUCUGUUGACACCAAGGGAGGAGGAGUGCAGCGUUUGGAUUUCACCCUCAUCCAGCACCCUGUUCCCCACAGAAGUAGCAGUCUUGUGAAACCCAUCACUGCCAGAGGCAGAAGCUGCUGAUUAGGCUGGAGCCCCAAGUCUGUGCAAACUAGUUAUAGAUAGACCAGUCUCAGGGGAAGAACCCAGUUUCUUAGGCCUAACCAUACAGAUUUCUUAGAUGCUUGCUUCUCUGCGAACGUUCAUAUAUACAUCUUGUUCUGUUUUCUUAUGAGACAGGGUCUUUCUAGGUAGUUCAGGCUGGCCUUGAACUCAACAUGUAGCCAAGGCUGGCCUUGAACUCAUGAUGAUUCUCCUCCCUCAGCUUCCCGAGUAUUGGGAUUACAGGUGUGUACCACCAUGCACCCUGCCUUGUCCUAUAUUUCUGCCCAGUUCUGAUACUGUUGGAUUGGCUAAUCCUCGGCAAUGCAAAAUCUUUUCUAGCCAAAUUAUUUAGGCAGGACUUCCUUUUUAGUAUACGUGCCGCCAAAGCGAGCUCAGGACUUCCUUUUUGAAGACCCAGAUUACUUUCAAAUUAUCCUUAGACUUAGAAUGAAUUGUUCUCUUUUGGUUCCCUGAUUUAAAUGUUUUGAUUUCUUACUGUGGCAGAGAUGCUUAGCUGUCUACCAAAGUUCCUCACCCUUUCGGUAUAGAGUUGUUAUGGAGGACCAAAGACUACAUUUCCCAGCUGCCCUUGCAACUAGAGUGGUCAUGUGACAAAUUCCCAUCGCUAGAAUGUGAGCCAGAGAGAGCACACUACUUCUGAGCCAAGGCUGUAAGAGGGAAGUGUGCCUCCUCCACACUUUUCUUUUUCUUCGGGCAACACAUAAGUGACAGUGAGACCUAAGGGAAAGAGGGAGCUUCCAGAUGAACAGAGCCUGGGUCCUUGAAUCACCAUAUGGAGAAAAGUCACUAGCCAAUUAGGAACAACUGCUUUUUUUCUGUUGUGUGAGAAAAAUAAAUUCUAUUAUAUAUCUGGGGGGUUGUUUAUUAUUGCCUCUUAGCCUGUGCUUCAUACCUCUGCUUCGCCUUCUACCUAAAUCAAGGUGCACAAGAUGCUGAUAAAGCUCCUGGGAUGAAAACCUCCAACUCACCCUGCAUUUCACUUUCCCUGGCCGGCUCCCAUGCCUGUCUUGGUUCACACUGUCUGCUUGCUCUGACGUCUAGCUGACUCAGCCAGCCUGGGCCACCAUCCAUCUGCUGUUGAUGGGCGCCUGGUCCCAGCAAAAUGCACAUUUAUUCUCCCACACAUAGGGUUCUUUUUUCACCAAAGGUAGUGCAGCAGUAAAUUUGGAGAAGCAAGCUGCUGUUCAGCACAUGGCUCGUGGUUACUUUGGGACAAAGCCAAGGAGCUCAUGUCUUCAGCCCCAAUUCUCCAAGCCAGAGCCUCCAGAGGUUGGCAGAGAGGUGCAGAGGGGCAAUGGAGGGGGGAGAAAGCCAGAAGGAGGUGACAAUUCUCUCAGAAAGCAAUUAAGCAUUUCUUGGUGGCCUCAGGGACAACCUCAACUUUUUGUACUUUUCCUCCAGAGAGCACGGGAAGAGAAUAUUGUGGCUGCAGUUCUUGAAAACCCUGCCUCAUACUGUGGCUUUGGGAAGACAGAGAAGCUGACUGCAGGAGCUCCACCUGCACUUCCUGCUCCAGAUGCUCCCUCCAUGGAGACCCCUGGAAUAAACCAGAGUGGGGCCCCAAAUGCCAAGGAACUUCUUGCCAUCACCCAUUUCUGAUGGCUAUUGCCAGCCCCAGCAGGAAGAGGAGAAGCUGGACUGAAGGUGGUAAAGAAGCCCAGAAGAGGCUGCAGUCUCUGCAAAAGCACUGAGAUGCAAAGGCCCCACUCCUCUGAGUAGGUCAGAUGCCCCGGAAGGUUAUAGAAUGGCACGGCCAUCCUUCCAGGGGCUUCAAGAAGACUCUGCCUCAGCAAUUUCCAGAACAAAUGUGCUGUUUGUUUGAGUCAGGAAAUCACAGGCUGCAAAUUCCCCAGGGGCCCAAGAAUCCAGCCCCUGGCUCCUCCUGUCCUUGUGUGAGCAGGACAGUUAGAUGCACACCACAGCACUGAGGUUAAAUUACAACAACCUAACCUGGGCUGGCCCUCAGAUGCCAAGAUCCCCCUCAGAGAGGGUCAGUGGUUAACCAGGUCUCUCCAGGACUCUCACAUAAGUGGCCUGAAUGGGGGCAGCUCUGCUCUGACCCAGGUAGCUCUCACCCUAACCCUGCAGUGGUGGUGAGCUGUGGAGCCAGGGUGGAUGCAUCAUAGGUGUUUCAGCGAAGACAGCCCCUAAUUUCCCAUACCUUCACGGUGUCCCCACCAUUGCCUGGCCAAAGUUCUGCCUACCCAGUCUGAUCCCUUCUCCUCUUUAUCCAGCCUCUUCCUCUUUUUUGUUUGUUUGUUUGUCGAGACUAAGUCUCACCAUGUAAUUCAGGAUGGCCUGAAACUCCUCGGACUCACUAUGUAGCCCAGGCUGGCCUUGAACUUGUGGCAAUCCUCUUGCCUCAGCCUGCCAAGUGUUGGGAUUACAGGUGUGCACCACCUUCCCCAGCCUGUUCCUCUUAUUCUGCCACUUUACCCUAGGACUUUGCUCAUUCAUUCUUUCCAAAUGUCCCCUCUCCCUGUCAAUCUGGGUCCAUUCCAUGCCUGGUUUGUAAGCAUAACUGACCUGAUCCCUAAUUGCAAGCCCCCAGUCUCUCCCAGGAAGCCCAGGUUUGACAAGUGUGACCCCCAGGGUACUGGGUCACCACAGGAAAUGCCAGAGUCCAAAGUCUACCCAGGACUGGCAGCUCAGAUGGUUCCAGGGCAGAAAUAACCUGAGCCUGAUGCCCUUUGAGAAGCUGGCAGAUGGACACACACAUCCAUCUCAGCAGAGGGAAUGAGGGGCAAGACCAAGGCCUUAGGCUGUGCAUGGAGAGGAACAGGGGCUGGCCGUAGGGAUGGGCACUAAGAACAGUCUCGGCCUCACUCAGGGGACAAAAAGCACACAAAGAGUUCUCCAGACCCCAUUUUCCACUGAGGAGCCGGGGCAAACAGAAGGUUGGAUGACACACUCGAUUGGCAAGGGUGGGAGAAGGCACUCUCGGGCUUUGCUAGGACUGUAAGCUGAUCCCAUCUCUAUGGAGGGGGCAGCUCGCCAGUGUCUGCCAAAGGCACAGACUCCUUGACCCAGCAAUUCUACUUCCAGCUAUGGAUACUUAUCUGGGAAAUGGUCCCUUGGUGUUGUUUGUAGCAAUGACUGAAGAUGGGAGGUACCCUUCUUAGGGGACUGGGUCUGUGACAGGAUACAAUGGGCAGAGUAAAGAGUUAAGAGACACUGAAGUAUGACCAUGGAACCAGGUGGUAGAUGAAUUGUAAAGAGGGAAAAUAGCGGGCUGUGCUAUGCGGGCAGCUCCUCGGGAGGCUGAGGAAAGAGGAUUGCAAAUUCAAGGCCAGCCUGGGUAACUUAAUGAGACCCUGUCUCGAAAUAAAGAAGGCUAGGUAUGUAGCUCAGCGGUAGAGCCCUUGCCUAGCAUGCAGGCAGUGGGAGGAAGUGGAGGAGGAAGAGGAGAGAGGAAGAAAAACAGAGUCAAGGGCUGAAAAGGCUGUGGGCUGACUGGCUUCCGGUCUCAAUGCUGCGUAAAAGAGAGACCAUACACACGCUUGUCUGCUCCUGCAUUGCAAGGAAUUUCUCUGAAUGGAUAUCAGAGAAAUGGGUUGCCUUGGUUUUAUAGGAACAACUAUUUUCUUUAUAUAUAUUUUUGUAACUAAAAUUUUGGCCACGGUGGCGGCACACACCAGUAAUCCCAGCACUUGGAAGGUUGAGGCAGGAGGAUUGCCAGUUCAAGGCCAUCCUGGCUUACAUUCAGAAACCUUAUCAUGAAAAAAAAACACUCCCUCCCCAAAAUCUUUUUGAACUGUUGUAAGCAUGUCACCUAUUCAAAAAUUAAAUAAAUAUAAAGUAUGUGAGCCCCAGCUCUGUAAUGGAAAUGAUACAAUCUCAUUGUUUUUUUUGUUUUUUUUAAUGAGCGUUUUGUUUUGUUUUGUUUCUGAGAGUGUGUCUUUUUGUACUGUCCAGGCUGGUUUUGAACUUCUGGCUUCAGGAGAUCCUCUUGCCUCAGCCUCCUUGAAUAGCUGGCACUACAAGUAUGUUCCACCGUACCCAGCUUGCAUCAGUAGUUGAAGUAUUCUAGAGGCCAAGCCAGGAGGAGUUCAAGCCCAGCCUGGACUACAUAGAGAGACCCUGUCUCAACACUCACCCCGCCGAAAAAGGAGGCUUAGAAAAGCAAGAACAUGAUCCAGGCCACAUUAUGGACCAGCUGGCUCAGACACUAAUUGUCAGAAGAUGGCAUUGACUGGGCCAGGGAUUUAGCUCAGUGGUUUCGCCUCCUGAUGUGCAAGUGCAAGGACCUGAGUUCAAUCCCUGGUACCAAAAAAAGAAAAAAAAAAGAUGGCAUUAACUUUCAGUGCUGGGGGACCAAAUCCUGCAUGCUAGGAAAGUGCUCUACCACUGAGCUACGUCUGCAGCCCAAGGUCACCAUUUUGCCUGCCCACCAGCAGUGUAUGUGGGUUUAGGGUGAUUCACAGCUUUGCCAGCGCUUGGUGCUGUCAGUCUUGUUAUUUCAGACUUCACAGCAGGACUUUGACACCAUCCAUCUAGGUAGAACCUCUGGCUAAGCUCCCAGGGAGGAGGAGAAAUGCCAAUUUUACAGAAAACUCAAGAAGAUCCAUUCACCUGCUUCCUGGGAGAACAGAUGGUAUUUUGCCUGAGGAAUAUGAAGAAUGCAAAUUUGCUUUCUCUCACUCAGGAUGGAGUUGGUGCUUAUAAAAAGAUACACAGACUAAUAAAUGCUGCCAGUUUGCAAAGCCAACUUAUCCUAGUUUUUUGACAACAAAAUGGUACAUCCUGCAAGAUGUUACUUCUCCACUUGAAACACAUUUUUCAUCAAGCCAAAUAAGUUGCCACAGAUGCCACACCUCCUUCUUACAUGUGUCUUCCUGCCUCUGCCUCCCAGAGUGCUGGGAUUACAGGCAUGUGCCACCAUGCCUAGUCCUACAAACUUCCUCAAACUGUGGAGUCAGGGUUCAUCUUGAUCUGUGUCAGGUCUGAAUACAGUGCCCUCUGGGUCUCUGCUGAGGCUGUCACGUGACACCAGAGUGAAGAGCAGAGGUGACCAAGGGGGAGUGGUCCUUCAGACCCUGGCUGUAGCUCCUAUUCUGUAUCUGGGAAGACUCCUAGCUCUGGCCUCUUGUGAACCCCAGGAAGGAUGGGACUUCUGAGUUCUCUCUGAGCUUGUCAUGCAGUGCCAAUAUUACACUGUGUACUACAUUAAAGGAGGCCUCUGAGUUUUCUUCUUGUGCAACAGGGUGGUCUACUUGGGGAUAAGAGACCGUGGGCCAUCAGUCCAAGGGGCAAGAGCAGUGGGUACUGCCUGGGACGAAGGGUUGCUCUUUCCAGCUCUACCAUUGCCUUGCUGCUGGACCUGAGCAAAGAACUUGACUUCUGUGAGCCCCUUUGGCUCAUCUGUAACCUGGCAGCUCUGCAGUCUGACCUGCCCAUCUCAUGGGAUUAUUGCAAGAUGCACAUGAUUGAGCAUAGAACAUUUCUGGAAAGAUGCAGCCAGCCCAAACUAUUCAGUGGCUUCUCUGGGAAACAGAAGAAGGAAGAGAGCAGAGAGGAGGUCAUGAGGAUUAACAUUUUCAUUUUCAAUCAAUUGUGAUUUUAUUUCAUUUUUUUAAUACAGGGAUUGAACCCAGGGCUUUACAGUGAGCUGCACUUCCAGCCCUAUUUAUUUAUUAUUUUGAAACACAGUUUCACU